UCAUCCAUCAAUAUCCAAGUUCCAGAAGACAGAAGAGGGACGGAUUUUUGUUCAAGUGCAUUCCAUUGAGACAGAAGACAGAAGACGAUGGCCUCGUCGAUUGGGGCACCGAAGGUCACCUUUUCUUCUUCAACCCUUCAACACCUCUGCAAAAAAUUCCCUCCUCCUAUCUCACCGAGAUAUCUGUCACCGAAUUCCUCGCCGUGCUUUCACUUCAGGGGCAUAAAGUCUCCCUCUGGUGGCUGUCGUUUCUUCAUCCCGUAUCGGUGCUUCACAGUCCGAGCGGAGUCCGAAAACGGUGCGGAGCCUCGACACUACGAUUUUGACCUUUUCACGGUAGGUGCUGGGAGCGGUGGUGUGCGGGCUUCGCGUUUCGCUGCAAGUUAUGGUUCCUCCGUUGCUAUCUGUGAGCUUCCCUUUGCUACAAUCUCUAGCGAUAACGCUGGUGGUGUCGGUGGAACAUGUGUACUUCGAGGAUGUGUUCCAAAGAAAUUACUUGUUUAUGCGUCCAAGUACUCUCAUGAUUUUGAAGAGAGCUGUAACUUUGGGUGGAAAUAUGAGAUUGACCCUGUACAUGAUUGGAGAACCUUGAUUGCUAACAAGAAUGCUGAGUUGCAGCGCCUUACUGGAAUCUACAAGAAUGUUCUGAAAAAUGCAGGCGUGACAUUAAUUGAAGGUCGUGGAAAGGUUGUAGACCCGCACACUGUAGACGUAGAUGGGAAACUCUAUUCUGCGAGACACAUACUGAUAGCUGUUGGUGGACGACCCUUCAUUCCUGAUAUUCCUGGAAGUGAGUAUGCCAUAGAUUCUGACAUGGCCCUUGAUUUACCAUCAAAGCCUGAGAAGAUUGCAAUAGUUGGGGGUGGAUAUAUUGCUUUGGAGUUUGCUGGCAUUUUCAAUGGCUUGAAAAGUGAAGUGCACGUUUUUAUCCGACAGAAGAAAGUUUUAAGAGGCUUUGAUGAAGAGAUCAGAGAUUUUGUUGCUGAACAGAUGUCUGUAAGAGGAAUUGAAUUCCAUACUGAGGAAUCCCCCCAGGCAAUCCUUAAAUCACCAGAUGGUUCACUUUCUUUGAAGACUAACAAAGGAACUAUUGAUGGCUUCUCACAUAUCAUGUUUGCAACAGGACGAAGGCCAAACACAAAGAACUUGGGACUGGAGACAGUUGGGGUGAAAAUGGCUGACAAUGGAGCUAUAGAGGUUGAUGAAUACUCCCAGACAUCAGUUCCUUCAAUUUGGGCUGUGGGUGAUGCUACUGAUAGAAUAAAUUUAACUCCAGUUGCAUUGAUGGAGGGUGGAGCAUUUGCAAAAACUGUCUUUUGCAAUGAACCCACAAAACCAAAUUACAGAGCUGUGCCAUCUGCUGUAUUUUCCCAGCCACCUAUUGGACAAGUUGGCCUUACUGAAGAACAGGCUAUCCAAGAAUAUGGUGAUAUUGAUGUCUUCACAGCCAACUUCAGGCCACUGAAGUCUACUGUGUCUGGGCUUCCAGACCGGACCUUCAUGAAACUUGUGGUCUGUGCAAAGACAAAAAAAGUUCUAGGGUUGCACAUGUGUGGGGAAGAUGCACCAGAAAUUGUGCAGGGGUUUGCAGUUGCUAUAAAAGCUGGAUUGACCAAGGCAGACUUCGAUGCCACAAUUGGUAUUCACCCCACUGCUUCUGAGGAGUUUGUUACAAUGAGGACUCCAACUAGGAGGAUCCAGAAGGACCCUCCAUCAGAGGUUUGUUAGGGGAAAGGCUGCUGCUGAGGUCAAAGCUGAGGCAAAGGUUUAGCAUUUAAUCUUUACCAGGGCAUCAUCCUGGAAAUUCCUAGAUAAACUCCAGCAGAAGAUUGGAUUUGCACUUUAAUGUCAUCCUGUACAGGAAGGGAGCAGUCUAAGUAUAAGAGGAGUGACGAGGUGCAAGUUUUGCUGCAGACUGAAACUCCACCUUCUAUGUUUAUUGCAGAGUAAUUCCUACUUAUUAGUUCUGCCUUGCCAUUUCUCAACAAGUUGCUGCUUUUGAUGAUGUCACAUGAAAGAGCAAAUUAAAAUACUGUAAGGAAAACUGCUCAGAUAUAAGGCGAUCAAUUGAAACUUGAAAGUAAUUUACAAAUCUUUAUUUCCAA